UUACCUGCAACCAGCUACUCCCGGUGAAGGCGACCUUCGUCUCUGCGCAAGACCAUACAGGCCCGGUGAGCGUCAGCCCGUCGGUGGACCGAGGAAGACCGUCGCGGAGCGGCGUCGACCGUUCGUCGUGUGUUGGCGUUCGACUCGGGGGGACUGGUUCCCGUGCCCUCGGACCGCGCCGGCGCAGCGGCGGGCGCGCACGGCGUCCCGCCUGGGGUCGGUGGCGAAACGGCCGGCAACCUGUCCGACCCGUCUUGAAACACGGACCAAGGAGUCUAACAUGUGCGCGAGUCGUUGGGCGCUACGAAACCCGAAGGCGCAAUGAAAGUGAAGGCCCGGUCUCCGGCCGGCCUGGGUGGGAUCCCGGCGGUCUCGGCCGUCGGGCGCACCACCGGCCCGUCUCGUUCGUUACGUCGAGGAGGCGGAGCAACAGCCUACACGUUGGGACCCGAAAGAUGGUGAACUAUGCCCGAGUAGGACGAAGCCAGAGGAAACUCUGGUGGAGGUCCGCAGCGAUUCUGACGUGCAAAUCGAUCGUCAAACUUGGGUAUAGGGGCGAAAGACUAAUCGAACCAUCUAGUAGCUGGUUCCUGUCGAACUUUCCCUCAGGAUAGCUGGCGCUCGUCGUGAGCAGUUUUAUCCGGUAAAGCGAAUGACUGGAGGCCUUGGG
rnacentral:rRNA from 1 species